rnacentral:snRNA from 1 species
AGGCUAUGUGUGCCUCUCCUGAAGCUGCACAAUCAGUAGAGGAGGAUGGCUUCACUGAAUAGAGGAGGACCAGUCUUCAGUCAAAGGUCUGGGAGAAGCUUCACUCCUUUGCUGGAACCCCCAAACUGGCUAUCAGGGCUAUUCUCCAAACCACCAUGCUCACAUAAACCUAGGCUAAAAUUGCCCCCAAAUUGUCUCAAGA